AAGCAGGAGGAGGAACUGGAACAAAAUGCCCAUGCUUCGGACUGAGGACGAAGAACCCCCUGGAUAUGAUCUGUGUGGGGGCCAUUUUACUGUGGCAAUGCACCAUGGAGGAAAUUUCUUCACUCCAUUUGGCAACAAAAGGUAUCAUGGAGCUAACAACACGUACUC